GCGUCUAUGGUGCUAACGGCAGCAUGCGGCCUUGCCAUGGCUGAGGUGUGGGUUCAAAUCCCGCUAGACGCU
rnacentral:tRNA from 1 species